AUUGAACGCUGGCGGCAGGCCUAACACAUGCAAGUCGAGCGAGCGGCGGACGGGUGAGUAAUGUAUGGGGACUGCCCGAUAGAGGGGGAUAACUACUGGAAACGGUGGCUAAUACCGCAUACUAUCGGAUAACCCAUAUGGGAUUAGCUAGUAGGUGGGGUAAAGGCUCACCUAGGCGACGAUCUCUAGCUGGUCUGAGAGGAGGAUCAGCGACACUGUGACUGAGACACGGCACAGACUCCUACGGAGGCAGGAGGGGGGAAUAUUGCACAAGGGGCGAAAGCCUGAUGAGGCCAUGCCGCGUGUAGGAAGAAGGGCUUAGGGUUGUAAAGUACUUUCAGCGGGGAGGCGUUACCCGCAGAAGAAGGACCGGCUAACUCCGUGCCAGCCGCCGCGGUAAUUC
rnacentral:rRNA from 1 species